rnacentral:lncRNA from 1 species
UGGAAGGCUGUUGGCUUGUGGAGAGACUAGAGCAGGGGCAUGGUCUAGCAGCUCAGUCAAGCCUGUGCAUCAUCUGAUCCCCAGCAGUUCUGGUCCCCCUUGGCCUCUACUUGGCUCUAGGUUUAGUCUCCACUGCCAGCUGCCAUGGGCAAGCAGAACAGCAAACUGCGGCCUGAGGUGCUGCAGGACCUGCGGGAACACACAGAGUUCACUGACCAUGAGCUGCAGGAGUGGUAUAAGGGCUUCCUCAAGGACUGUCCCACCGGCCACUUGACAGUGGACGAAUUCAAGAAGAUCUACGCCAACUUCUUCCCCUAUGGCGACGCCUCUAAGUUUGCCGAACACGUCUUCCGCACCUUUGACACCAACAGCGAUGGCACCAUCGACUUCCGGGAGUUCAUCAUCGCACUGAGCGUGACCUCUCGGGGCAAGCUGGAGCAGAAGCUCAAGUGGGCCUUCAGCAUGUACGACCUGGACGGCAACGGCUACAUCAGCCGCAGUGAAAUGCUGGAGAUUGUGCAGGCCAUCUACAAGAUGGUGUCCUCCGUGAUGAAGAUGCCCGAGGAUGAGUCCACACCCGAGAAGCGAACAGACAAGAUCUUCAGGCAGAUGGACACAAACAAUGAUGGCAAACUGUCCCUGGAAGAAUUCAUCAAAGGUGCCAAGAGCGACCCGUCCAUUGUCCGGUUGCUGCAGUGUGACCCCAGCAGUGCUAGCCAGUUCUGAGGGGAACGGGCUUUUGGACAGUUGUGAGAAACACAGGCUUGACCUGCCAUCUUCAGCUUUGCUUGCAAAAGUGGAUUCCUCCGUGAUCUCUCCUGCUCUCCCGGGACCUGGGCCAGGCAGCACAUCACACCCACCCGACCUGCCCAGCCGCAACUCCCUCCUCUAUCUGAUCCGUCCGUUCGAUAUCCCUCCCCCUCCAGUCCAGGUUGGUUCCUUCCAAGGGUUCAAGUGUUCUCGGCUGUAGGGCUCCUCCCUGCCCACAGAGGGCCCGGAGGCCCUUAAGGACACCAGACACGACUUUUCAGUAUCCUACCGAGACCAGCUGAUUCAUUCUAUGAUCCCAGGUGACUUUGUGGGGAUGAAGAAGAUGGAGAGUAGACAGGCAAGCCCUUCCUGUGCAUGGCUCCACCUCCCUUGUUCAUUUUCUCUGACCAAAGCCGCUUGCACGUACAUACCGUGGUCUCCUUACUUUUAAUGUAUGAGUUAUGUGUACGGUGAGAUGGACUCUAACGUUUAGCCCCUGUAUUUAAUGCCUCUGACUGCCUUUGAAGCAUGGUCCCCUGUGGCCUGUGACCCCACCCCACCCCCAAGUCUGGCUGUGCUGUGGUAUUUAUGCAUUCGUGAUUUGCCUGAUUCCACAGGAGAUACAUGCAUGCCCAGGGCUGCGGACAUCUGCCCUCCGUGCUGCAAAUACAGGUGUUUCCGUGUGCUCCGUCCUCUUCUGUAAAUUGGUCUGGCAUAUUAAAAUGAUCAAAUAAAACAAGGCCUGUGAGUUUCCUGUUUGCUGUGAGCACCCUGUUCACGGUUCUGCCUCUCUCCAAUCCUUAGCAGAAGCGAGUCCCUGGCAUCCAGCUGCUGUUGGUAAACACAGUCCCCAGGGUACCCUUCUAACUGCCACUGUGUCUACAUAUAUUCUGUGCCUGUUCUGCAAUAUCUGCCUAAUGCCAAGAAAGACUCGUGAAAAUAAAGGAUUCCUGUUCUUGGCAGGUCUGUGA